rnacentral:lncRNA from 1 species
AUGAAGAUGAGUGACUUGGCUCAGUCUGACCCUGAAGUCAGGAGAGCUGCAGUGCAUUGUAUGGCAAACUUAUGUCUCAGUGUGCCAGGACAGCCCUACUUGGAGGAGCCCUAUCAAAAUAUUUGCUUCAACGCUUUCUUGACCAUUUUACAGUCUUCAAAAUCAUCUGAUACGGAUGAUAUAAUAUUUUGUAUGGUAGGUAGGACUAUCGCUUAUCUUCUGAUUGUUGCAGAUGUGUCUUGAAGCAGGAGUACAGCAGAAGUUUAUUACCAAAGAGUUUAAUUUUGCUGCUAUGUUAGUUUUGUUUAAAGAUAUUUGCAUAUAUGUAGAAUGUUUAU